rnacentral:rRNA from 1 species
UACGUAGGGGGCAAGCGUUGUCCGGAAUCAUUGGGCGUAAAGAGCGUGUAGGCGGCCAGAUAAGUCCGCUGUGAAAUCUCGAGGCUCAACUUCGAGCUGUCGGUGGAAACUGUCUGGCUAGAGUCCGGAAGAGGAGAAUGGAAUUCCUGGUGUAGCGGUGAAAUGCGCAGAUAUCAGGAAGAACACCUAUUGCGAAGGCAGCUCGCUGGGACGUUACUGACGCUGAGACGCGAAAGCGUGGGGAGCAAACAGG